rnacentral:rRNA from 1 species
CAUCUAGGCGGUCAAUCAAGUCGAAGGUGAAAACUUGUGGCUCAACCAUAAGCUUGCCUACGAAACUGAUUGACUAGAGUACUGGAGAGGUGGACGGAACUACACGAGUAGAGGUGAAAUUCGUAGAUAUGUGUAGGAAUGCCGAUGAUGAAGAUAGUUCACUGGACAGAAACUGACGCUGAGUGCGAAAGCUAGGGGAGCAAACA